UCUCUUGGACCCGGGAAAAGCGGCGGGCGACCGCGCGCGACCGGGACUCCCCAAGGUUUCGUCGGGGGGUGCCGAGACCGGGACGGAGGAAAGGGGUCAAACCCUUCCCCCGCCCCCCUCGGCCUUCGUAAUUCCCCUCGGCGGAGCUCCGGUUCGUUUACCUUGAAUAAAUUAGAGUGUUCAAAGCAGGCAAGCACACGCCCUGAAUACGUUAGCAUGGGAUAAUAGAAUAGGACUUGGGUCUUAGGUUUCUGUUGGUUUUUAGGACCGAAGUAAUGAUUGAUAGGGACGGUCGGGGGCAUUAGUAUUUAAUUGUCAGAGGUGAAAUUCUCGGAUUUAGGAAAGACUGACUUCAGCGAAAGCAUUUGCCAAGGACGUUUUCGUUAAUCAAGAACGAAAGUUAGGGGAUCGAAGACGAUCAGAUACCGUCGUAGUCUUAACCAUAAACGAUGCCGACCAGGGAUCGGAAGACGUUACCUCGAUGACUCUUCCGGCACCUUGCGGGAAACCACAAGUCUUUGGGUUCCGGGGGGAGUAUGGUCGCAAGGCUGAAACUUAAAGGAAUUGACGGAAGGGCACCACCAGGAGUGGAGCCUGCGGCUUAAUUUGACUCAACACGGGGAAACUUACCAGGUCCGGACAUAGGAACGAUUGACAGAUUGAUAGCUCUUUCUUGAUUCUAUGGGUGGUGGUGCAU
rnacentral:rRNA from 1 species